UACGUAGGGGGCGAGCGUUGUCCGGAUUUAUUGGGCGUAAAGAGCGUGUAGGCGGUUCGGUAAGUCUGUCGUGAAAUCCUGAGGCUCAACCUUGGACGUGCGAUGGAUACUGCCGGGCUAGAGGAUGGUAGAGGCGAGUGGAAUUCUCGGUGUAGCGGUGAAAUGCGCAGAUAUCAGGAGGAACACCAAUGGCGAAGGCAGCUCACUGGGACGGUACUGACGCUGAGACGCGAAAGCGUGGGGAGCAAACAGG
rnacentral:rRNA from 1 species